rnacentral:lncRNA from 1 species
AUCUCUUUCACCUAAAUGGGGACAGAGACCGAGUCUGCGACACUGUUGAGGGGUCUCCCAAGGACAAGACGUUCCCUGCAGAACGGAGCCCUGACCAGGAAGGAAGCCAGAGGCCCUAACUCGCUGCUCCUCCCAGCCAUGCCAGGGCUGUCCCUGGAUGACCCAGCACCCCAGUGGGCGGCCCACUGCUGAAGACCCAGCUCACACCCCAUCAGGGAACCCAUCGUUCUCUUUAAAAGGGAAGCUCACAGUAACCAG